GACGUAGGGCGCAAGCGUUGUCCGGAUUUAUUGGGCGUAAAGAGCUCGUAGGCGGCUUGCCACGUCUGCCGUGAAAACCAGCAGCUUAACUGUUGGCUUGCGGUUGAUACGGGUUGGCUGGAGUUCGGUAGGGGAGACUGGAAUUCCUGGUGUAGCGGUGGAAUGCGCAGAUAUCAGGAGGAACACCAAUAGCGAAGGCAGCUCGCUGGGACGUUACUGACACUGAGGCGCGAAAGCGUGGGAGCGAACAGG
rnacentral:rRNA from 1 species